UACGUAGGGGGCAAGCGUUGUCCGGAAUUAUUGGGCGUAAAGAGCUCGUAGGCGGUUUGUCGCGUCUGCUGUGAAAACUCGGGGCUUAACCCCGGGCCUGCAGUGGGUACGGGCAGACUAGAGUGCGGUAGGGGAGACUGGAAUUCCUGGUGUAGCGGUGAAAUGCGCAGAUAUCAGGAGGAACACCGGUGGCGAAGGCGGAUCUCUGGGCCGUAACUGACGCUGAGGAGCGAAAGCGUGGGGAGCGAACAGG
rnacentral:rRNA from 1 species